rnacentral:rRNA from 1 species
UGGGGAAUUUUGGACAAUGGGCGAAAGCCUGAUCCAGCAAUGCCGCGUGUGUGAAGAAGGCCUUCGGGUUGUAAAGCACUUUUGUCCGGAAAGAAAUCCUUGGCUCUAAUACAGUCGGGGGAUGACGGUACCGGAAGAAUAAGCACCGGCUAACUACGUGCCAGCAGCCGCGGUAAUACGUAGGGUGCAAGCGUUAAUCGGAAUUACUGGGCGUAAAGCGUGCGCAGGCGGUUUGCUAAGACCGAUGUGAAAUCCCCGGGCUCAACCUGGGAACUGCAUUGGUGACUGGCAGGCUAGAGUAUGGCAGAGGGGGGUAGAAUUCCACGUGUAGCAGUGAAAUGCGUAGAGAUGUGGAGGAAUACCGAUGGCGAAGGCAGCCCCCUGGGCCAAUACUGACGCUCAUGCACGAAAGCGUGGGAAGCAAACAGGAUUAGAUACCCUGGUAGUCCACGCCCUAAACGAUGUCAACUAGUUGUUGGGGAUUCAUUUCCUUAGUAACGUAGCUAACGCGUGAAGUUGACCGCCUGGGGAGUACGGUCGCAAGAUUAAAACUCAAAGGAAUUGACGGGGUCAUAGCUGUUUCCU